AUAACAAAAUCAACAACAAAAUGUAAUUUGACAAAUUUACCGUGUUAAACAAGUUUUCAAGAUUCACAAGUUAUAAAACAUCAAUAAAUUAAUUGGUACAUCAAGCUUUUGUGUUUCCAAGAAUGUAAUUGCAAAACUCAAAAUUAAUACUGUAAACAAUUGCACAUAUACCUACUAUGUGUAUUCCUCAAAAUUACUACCAUCUCUUUUUCUUUUAUUUUUGACAUAAUUUUGAAUUACUUAAUAGAUGACCUGGCAAAUUUACCAGUUAAAUUUUACUUACUUUGAAGAGACUCAAAAGCAAAUUACAGUGUUAUGGAUUCACAGUUAAGUUUAAAAAUGAAGAAGCUAAAAAGGCAAAGUAAUCAUUUUAUGAGGGAAAGAAGUGAUUCCGACAUUCAAAGUCUUUUUAUGCCAAAACGGAUUCCAAAAUCUAAAUAUCAAAUGAUGUUUACAUUUUGUGUCUCUUGGGUGUUAAAAUACCACUAUCCUAUAAUUCCUUGUACUAUAAAAUCUGAAAUGAAAAAUGUAGUUCUGGAUAUCAAAGAAAAAGUAAAGAAUUAUGAAGAAAAAGUUCAAACGCAUCCUAUAGAUAAAUAAAACCAUUAUGCCAGUACUAAACUAAUAAUAAAACUAUUAAUCUUUAAUUGAC